AGACUCCUACGGGGCGCAGCAGUGAGGAAUAUUGGUCAAUGGUCGGGAGACUGAACCAGCCAAGCCGCGUGAGGGAGGAAGGUACAGAGUAUCGUAAACCUCUUUUGUCAGGGAACAAAGACUGGGACGCGUCCCCGGAUGAGUGUACCUGAAGAAAAAGCAUCGGCUAACUCCGUGCCAGCAGCCGCGGUAAUACGGAGGAUGCGAGCGUUAUCCGGAUUUAUUGGGUUUAAAGGGUGCGCAGGCGGUCUGUUAAGUCAGCGGUCAAAGCCCGGGGCUCAACCCCGGCCCGCCGUUGAACCUGG
rnacentral:rRNA from 1 species